rnacentral:rRNA from 1 species
GUCUGUAUGAAGUUAAAUAGAGUCUGUUCUGCCCAUUGAGAAUUAAAUGUCUUAAAAGGCCGCGGUAUACUAACUGUGCAAAGGUAGCAUAAUCAGUAGUUUUUUAAUUGAAGGCUUGUAUGAAUGAUCGGACAAGGGUGAAACUGUCUUUUUUCAAAGAAUUGAAUUUAAUUUUUAAGUGAAAAAGCUUAAAUAAACCAGAGGGACGAUAAGACCCUAUAAAUCUUUAUGUUAAAAGCUUUCUGUAAAAAAAAUAUUUGAGUUAAGAAAAGUACGGAUACGAAAACAUUUGGCUGGGGCGGCAAUGAUAUAGAAAUAACUAUAAAUAUAACAAUAACAAAUAUGUUUGAGAAUUAAAAGAUCCUAAUUAUGGAAUAAGAGAAAAAGUUACUUUAGGGAUAACAGCAUAAUUUCUUUGGAGAGUUCUAAUCGAAAAAGAAGUUUGUGACCUCGAUGUUGAAUUAAAAGAUCUCUGAGGUGCAGAAGUUUCAGGAGAAAGUCUGUUCGACUUUUAAAUUUUUACAUGAUUUGA